GAUGAACGCUGGCGGCGUGCCUAAUACAUGCAAGUCGAGCGAACAGACGAGGAGCUUGCUCCUCUGACGUUAGCGGCGGACGGGUGAGUAACACGUGGAUAACCUCCCUAUAAGACUGGGAUAACUUCGGGAAACCGGAGCUAAUACCGGAUAAUAUAUUGCACCGCAUUGUUCAAUAGUGAAAGACGGUUUUGCUGUCACUUAUAGAUGGAUCCGCGCCGCAUUAGCUAGUUGGUAAGGUAACGGCUUACCAAGGCAACGAUGCGUAGCCGACCUGAGAGGGUGAUCGGCCACACUGGAACUGAGACACGGUCCAUACUCCUACGGGAGGCAGCAGUAGGGAAUCUUCCGCAAUGGGCGAAAGCCUGACGGAGCAACGCCGCGUGAGUGAUGAAGGUCUUCGGAUCGUAAAACUCUGUUAUUAGGGAAGAACAAAUGUGUAAGUAACUAUGCACGUCUUGACGGUACCUAAUCAGAAAGCCACGGCUAACUACGUG
rnacentral:rRNA from 1 species